rnacentral:rRNA from 1 species
UACGUAGGGUGCAAGCGUUAAUCGGAAUUACUGGGCGUAAAGCGUGCGCAGGCGGUUGUGCAAGACAGAUGUGAAAUCCCCGGGCUUAACCUGGGAACUGCGUUUGAAACUGGAAGGCUUGAGUGUGGCAGAGGGGGGUGGAAUUCCACGUGUAGCAGUGAAAUGCGUAGAGAUGUGGAGGAACACCGAUGGCGAAGGCAGCCCCCUGGGCUAACACUGACGCUCAUGCACGAAAGCGUGGGGAGCAAACAGG